rnacentral:lncRNA from 1 species
UAAGCAAGCCUGUACUAUCAAAUUUUGGGUUCUAACUGGUUGUGAAAAUCUUUGUUCUCAUAUAUCCUGACUAUUUUCAGGAUGAGAGUGAUAUAAUGAAGGGAAGACAUAAAAUCAUUGACAUAAAUACUAAUCACAAUCUUACUUUUCCUUUCAAUUGGAAUCUCAAAGUCCAAUAUAAACUUUGUUGACUCUUCUGUUGACCAUAAAUUGCUAAUCCUUGUAUGCUUUCUACAAUGUGAUUUUGGGACAAAAGCUUUUUCAUGGAGGGAGAGUGUUUACCGAUAUUUGGGAUCAUAUCAUUGGUUCUCUCUUGGUGGAGAAUGCAGAUUUGUUCAGUCUUUUCUUUUAUUGAAUACCGAGUAAGAAAAAACUAAAAGAAGACUAGCAUACCGGAUCAAUAUUAUGAUGUUUCUCAAGUUUGAGAGGAUUCUUUUCUCAUAUAUUCCAUAUUGGAGUGUUGUAGGAUUUUCUUUUCCUCUUUUUUUCUUUUUUUUUUCAUUCGCUUCUUUUGUAUGGUCUGUAUGUUGAGGACAUGUUGGAAAACAAUAUAACAUUAUAGUAUAAGUUAGGUGAUAAACAUGCACAGUUACUAGUUCUUCUAUAAGCAUCUAUGUCAGAUCUGUUGAACUAAUCUGUUGAACAUCUAUGACUGUCCUAAUCUGUUGCAGUAAGACUGAGCGAGUCUCUAUAUACUAUCAAAAGUCUUGGAGAAAAUAGUGGACGCCUUGAUGAAUUAAAACAUCUAGCAGGGUCUGGUGGCGACGGAAACUCCUGCCUUCCAGUAGGCAUUCAUGGAGUUGAGCAAAAUGAUACGAUAGGAGAUUCUCAACUAUCAUUCUCUAAAAAAGAUCGUGACAGAAGAAUGGACUCUAAUCUUUCUGGUCAAUCCAUGUAUAUUGAUACGGACAUUUCACCAGAACUGCGACAUAAGGUAAUUUUAUUAGAAGCACCAUGGUUUUAUAGCUCUCACAGACUAACACUAUGGAGGUAACUACUGAUGAUGACGUUAGCUACACUGAGUGCUAUGGAACUUCCCUUUCAUGAAGCUAGUAUUUAGUAGUUUACCUGGUCAUUGAGGCAGCUAGUGUAAUGAUUGAUUCUAAUAUUUGUAGGUUAUUGAGGCUGCUAAGGGAGUUGGUGCCUCACUUGUGGAUCAUUGGUUUGCCG